rnacentral:rRNA from 1 species
UACGGAGGGGGCGAGCGUUAUUCGGAAUUAUUGGGCGUAAAGGGCGCGUAGGCGGCCCUGUAAGUCAAAGGUGAAAUCCCUCGGCUCAACUGAGGAACUGCCUUUGAAACUGCAGGGCUUGAGGCCGGGAGGGGGUAGCGGAAUUCCCAAUGUAGCGGUGAAAUGCGUAGAUAUUGGAAGGAACACCAGUGGCGAAGGCGGCUACCUGGACCGGUUCUGACGCUGAGGCGCGAAAGCGUGGGUAGCAAACAGG